rnacentral:rRNA from 1 species
UACGGAGGGUGCGAGCGUUGUCCGGAAUCACUGGGCGUAAAGAGCUCGUAGGCGGCUUGUCACGUCGGGUGUGAAAGCCCGGGGCUUAACCCCGGGUCUGCAUUCGAUACGGGCUAGCUAGAGUGUGGUAGGGGAGAUCGGAAUUCCUGGUGUAGCGGUGAAAUGCGCAGAUAUCAGGAGGAACACCGGUGGCGAAGGCGGAUCUCUGGGCCAUUACUGACGCUGAGGAGCGAAAGCGUGGGGAGCGAACAGG